rnacentral:siRNA from 1 species
AUCAAGAUGUUGUGUUUCUCACA